CAUACUUUUAACAAAACCAUUAUACCCUGAUUUCCCAUUUUCAAUGGGUUCAGGGUAUAAAAAAAAGAAAUAACAACGAAGGAGCACAACGAUAGUCAUAGCGGUAUGAGUGAACGGAGCCAACAUGUUAUGUAAAUGAAAGCAUUGAGGAAACGUUCCACCAGGGCACCACACAUAACUACACACUUCACUCCACACUGAGCAAAAUAAACUAAGAUUAUUUUUAAGUAAUCAUAUUUAAUAUACAUACACUCACACUUAAGAAAAUUUUACAACGGUAUACAAACACACAUACUUACUUAUACAACAAUUAACCCAAUUAAUGUCGACUAUAGGUAAAGUUAAGAAACUUAUCCCAAGCACUAGAAGUAGGACUAGAAUUAGCAGUAGCCUAACGGACAUUAGGGAAACCCGGACUGUAGCGAGAACUGAGGACAUUACUCCAAUGACAUCUACUUCGAGCUCUCCACCACCCAGUCAGAUCCCCAAUAUGAAUAAUCACGUGGACUGUUUGAAUACACUAAAAAUUCCUGACGCUAUUCGUUUCUUGCCAACUUAUGAUGGCAAUUCAAAGACCCUCAGUGAAUUUAUCACUAACGUUGAAGAAAUACUUCUCCUCAUUAGAGGAACCGACCAGACUCCAUACGGCCAAAUGCUAUUAAGAGCUAUUAGAAACAAAAUUGAGGGAAAAGCUAUGGAAGCUAUUAUAGAGGAAGGAGCUAGCCUUAAUUGGGACUAAAUAAAGGAUGCUCUAAUCCUACAUUGUUCCGAUAAGAGAGAUGAACUUAAUGUAUGAGCUACAUACGUUGGUUCAAAGCUCACUACCACUUCGUACUUUGUACGAAAAGGUAUGUGAAAUUAAGAUCGCCUUGUUUAGAUUGACAGAUACAAAAGAGAUAGAACCAACACUAAUCAAGACUAAGAAAAAUCUAUUUGCCGACAUUUGUCUGAACUCAUUCCUAUCAGGUAUUAAGGGUCCCUUAGGUACAGCAGUCAGGGCAAUGAAACCCACAAACCUUGGAGAAGCUCUACAAUGGGCUUUGAAAGAGCGUGAAAUUUACCUCACCCAGAACACACACAAGACACAAGGCCACAACCGUAGCAUCGAAGAUUCAAAACCUAGCACUUCUAGACAAGGGAAUUACCAGGGAUAUAGACAACGUGCAAACUGAAGCUCAAUUACAUAACUACAAUGACCAGCCAAACUUUCAGGUAAAAGCCUCCAAGAACAAUCAGGAUACUUAAUAAAUAGAUAUUUAGGACCUCCCCUCCCAUACAUACAACUAUCAUUGAUACCCAACCAACCCCCAACGAAAUAAAUUAACCGCUAGAUUUUCUAAACAUAAAAUAUUAGUAGAUCAGGGCAUAACCCUUCUAACAGCAAAGUACCAAAAGAUACAUAAGUCCAAAAUCAGGAAGAGACUAAGAAAAAUAAAUUAAAUAUAUAACCUCUUACAGGUGCCACCACAUAAACGCUCAAUUACUAAACAUUCAACAUCUAACGGACAAUGAUAAGAUGGCACAAAUUAAUCUCGGUAACGCAAAAAUCGUAAUUUCACACAAAUACCUAAUUCAUAAAAUUAACCUACAAGAUUCUAUUGACAAUGUAAACAAAUUUGAAAUAGCAUUAAAUGAUCUUAAAGACGCUAAAUUCUCGGGAGAAAUUAUUAACUCCGUAAAAACCAAAUUAACACAAGUAAAACAUAAAAUUAACGCAAUAGUACCAAAGAUCAGAAAUAGAAGAGGGUUAAUUAACGGACUAGGAAGCGUAUAAUAAUAACGGGUAACAUGGACGCCACGGACGAAAUAACCAUUACAAACAAAUUCAACAAAUUAGAAGAGAACGAAAGAAAUAUAAUUAAAAACAUUAAUCAACAAAAUAUCAUUAAUAACGACAUAGCAAUAAGAUUCAAAAACAUUACUGACCAUAUAAAUAUGGAACAGGAAAACAUAAACUUAUUCAUUAAGAACUAUAAAAAUAACAUUUUUAAAUCAUUGAACGAAGAACACAAUGAAAUUCAUCUUUUACAAUACAUAUCUAGAAUCAAUUUCAAUAUCGACAUUUUGUACAACCAUAUUAAUAAUAUAGCAGAAAGCAUCCUAUUAACGAAACUAAAUGUAAUACCUAAAUUUAUCUUAACAGAAAGAGAGAUGCUCAUAAUUAAACAAAUAAUUGAUGAACAAAAUUGUCCAACUAACUCAGAAGAACAUCUGUAUAGACUAUUAACUUUAGAUACAAUAAUUAAA